rnacentral:rRNA from 1 species
ACAUGCAAGUCGAACGGAAACGAAACUAGCUUGCUAGUAGGCGUCGAGUGGCGGACGGGUGAGUAACGCGUAGGAAUCUGCCUGAUAGUGGGGGAUAGCCCGAAGAAAUUCGGAUUAAUACCGCAUAAUCUAUUCGUAGUAAAGUGGGGGACUUUAGAGCCUCACGCUAUCAGAUGAGCCUGCGUAAGAUUAGCUUGUUGGUAGGGUAAAAGCCUACCAAGGCAACGAUCUUUAGCUGGUCUGAGAGGAUGAUCAGCCACAUCGGGACUGAGACACGGCCCGAACUCCUACGGGAGGCAGCAGUGGGGAAUAUUGGACAAUGGGGGCAACCCUGAUCCAGCAAUACCGCGUGUGUGAAGAAGGCCUGAGGGUUGUAAAGCACUUUCAAUUGUGAAGAAAAGUCAACGGUUAAUAACCGUUGACCUUGACGUUAACUUUAGAAGAAGCACCGGCUAACUCCGUGCCAGCAGCCGCGGUAAUACGGAGGGUGCAAGCGUUAAUCGGAAUUACUGGGCGUAAAGCGUGCGUAGGCGGUUUAUUAAGUCAGAUGUGAAAGCCCCGGGCUUAACCUGGGAACUGCAUUUGAAACUGGUCAACUAGAGUAUGGUAGAGGAAAGUGGAAUUUCUGGUGUAGCGGUGAAAUGCGUAGAUAUCAGAAGGAACAUCAAUGGCGAAGGCAGCUUUCUGGACCAAUACUGACGCUGAGGUACGAAAGCGUGGGUAGCAAACAGGAUUAGAUACCCUGGUAGUCCACGCCGUAAACGAUGAUAACUAGCCGUUGGGGGGAUUUACCCCUUAGUGGCGAAGCUAACGCGUUAAGUUAUCCGCCUGGGGAGUACGGCCGCAAGGCUAAAACUCAAAGGAAUUGACGGGGACCCGCACAAGCGGUGAGCAUGUGUUUAAUUCGAUGCAACGCGAAGAACCUUACCUGUCUGACAUCCUGCGACUUUCUAGAAUAGAUGUGCUUCGGGACGCAGUGACAGUGCUGCAUGCUGUCGUCAGCUCGUGUCGUGAGAUGUGGGUAGUCCCGUACGAGCGCACCCCUAUCUUAUUGCAGCACAUUAUGGUGACUAUAGGAGACUGCCGGUGAUAACCGAGAGGCGGACGACGUCAGUCAUCAUGGGCCUACGAACAGGGCUACCACCGUGCUACAUGAAGAACAAGAGCUGGAGCCGGAGGGGUACUAUUCUAAACUUCUUAUCCCGAAGGAGACUGGCGAAUCUACAG